UCGAACGAACAAAGGGGGAACAAGGUGAAACCCUUGUUUUGCAAAUCCAGUAAAUUGAAGUGGAAAUUCAAGUGUAAUCUGGUGCAUGAACUCCGAUUUACUCUCAUCUAACCUCGAUUAUUAAAGUGGUGUGAAGGAAGAAGGUACAAGCACUAAGAAAACGGAAGACACGCAUGAUCGAGGUAAAUACUCAAUUUAGCCGACUUGGCAAUUUGGAGCGAGCAUAUGCACAUUUGAUGGUUAUCAAGCGCUUCCGCUAUUACGUAUUAUUGUUUCGGGUCAAAUACUCGUUCAUUUUUUUUUUUUAUAAAACUUUGUUAGUGGUUACACUUUUUUUAACACUUUAUGUAUGAUUCUUAGUCGUGUCUAGAUGAACGGGUUGUAGACUUGUUGGUUUUGUUGAUGGUUAAAACAGGGAUAUACUCGUCUUAUGGACGGGUCAUGCCCAAAUUUUAUUAAAUUAGCGCCCAAAUGUUAUUGAUGUCUUUAUGUUUAAUUGC